rnacentral:rRNA from 1 species
AUUGAACGCUGGCGGCAGGCCUAACACAUGCAAGUCGAACGAGUGGCGGACGGGUGAGUAAUGUCUGGGCAACUGACUGAUGGAGGGGGAUAACUACUGGAAACGGUCGCUAAUACCGCAUACCAUCGGAUGUGCCCAGAUGGGAUUAGCUAGUAGGUGGGGUAAAGGCUCACCUAGGCGACCAUCCCUAGCUGGUCUGAGAGGAUGACCGGCAAGACGGGAACUGGACAACGUUCCGGACUCUUACGGAAGGCAGCGGUGGGGAAUAUUGGCAAAUGGGCGAAAGCCUGAUGCAGCCAUGCCGCGUGUAGAAAGAAGGCCUUCGGGUUUGAAAGUACGUUCAGCGGGGAGGCGUUACCCACAGAAAAAGGACCGGCUAACUCCGUGCCAGCAGCCGCGGUAAUUC